rnacentral:rRNA from 1 species
GAUGAACGCUAGCGGCAGGCUUAAUACAUGCAAGUCGAGGGGCAGCAUGAUUGUAGCAAUACAAUUGAUGGCGACCGGCAAACGGGUGCGGAACACGUACACAACCUUCCAACAAGUGGGGGAUAGCCCAGAGAAAUUUGGAUUAAUACCCCGUAACAUAGCGAUGUGGCAUCACAUUGCUAUUAUAGAUUUUUCGCUUGUUGAUGGGUGUGCGGCUGAUUAGAUAGUUGGCGGGGUAACGGCCCACCAAGUCUACGAUCAGUAGCUGAUGUGAGAGCAUGAUCAGCCACACGGGCACUGAGACACGGGCCCGACUCCUACGGGAGGCAGCAGUAAGGAAUAUUGGACAAUGGACGCAAGUCUGAUCCAGCCAUGCCGCGUGCAGGAUGAAGGCGUUAUGCGUUGUAAACUGCUUUUAUACAGGAAGAAACGACUCUUGCGAGAGGCAUUGACGGUACUGUAUGAAUAAGCACCGGCUAACUCCGUGCCAGCAGCCGCCGUAAUAC